UACGAGGGGGGCGAGCGUUGUUCGGAAUUAUUGGGCGUAAAGGGUGCGUAGGCGGUUUGGUAAGUCCGCUGUGAAAUCCCCGAGCUCAACUUGGGAAUUGCAGUGGAUACUGGCAAGCUGGAGUAUGGUAGAGGAAGGUGGAAUUCCCGGUGUAGCAGUGAAAUGCGUAGAGAUCGGGAGGAACACCAGUGGCGAAGGCGGCGUCCUGGCCUGCGACUGACGCUGUGGCGCGAAAGCUAGGGGAGCGAACGGG
rnacentral:rRNA from 1 species